rnacentral:misc_RNA from 1 species
AACGCAUAUUGCACCUCUUGGUAUUCCUUGAGGUAUACCUGUUCGAGCGCCGUUUAUUAUCUAAGGCUUUGCCUUGUGUUGAUGUUACCUAUUAAAAGGUUCAUCUAAAUAAAUGGGCACUUAUUCUUUGUCCUAAGCGCAGCGAAAUGUGUAAAGGUUAAGAAUUGAGUAGCCAAUGCUCUCUAAAGCAUGGCCUCGGAUCAGGUAGGGUUACCCGCUGAACUUAA